CCUGAGAAACCUAAAAGUUCGAAAAGGGAGAUUCAUCGCCAGCAUGUGCAAUAUUCACGUGGGUAGUGAUGUAAGUCUUUGGUAGAAGGGUCAAACUUUUUAUCGAGAUUUAUACAUUUCCAUGUUAUUUUAUUGUUGUACUAUUGUCGGCGUGCACUUCUCUCUUAGUAGGACGUCCCGACCCGUUGAGUCUUUGCCUACGGCCCGGAUGGUUGCCUUUAGUGAUUAAUUUCAUUGAAGACCUCUGGUGUUCUGGCUAAGUGCCCGACGGUAGUUGUUGACGUGGUAUUGAGCCGCAUUUAAUUAUGCGUCUGGCCUUUCGCAAGUUUUUGACAGUUUCUGUAUAACAUAGACUUUGUGCUAUGUGUAUGGUUCUGUUUGCUGUUUGCAUGAUUGUGCUCUUAGACUGUGCUUAUUUACCUGUCAGGGACGCUUAGGCUUUGGGUACUCUCAGGACCCGUCUUGAAACACGGACCAAGGAGUCUAACAUGUAUGCGAGUCAUUGGGUAUAUAUUUUCUUUCGGGAAUUUAUAUAAAACAAACCUAAAGGCGAAAUGAAAGUAAAGGUUGAAUUAACGUUCGACUUAGGGAUGAUGGGAUAUUAAUUUAUCCUCGCAAUCCCGGGGCGUCUUAAUCUCAUUGCGAGAUGA
rnacentral:rRNA from 1 species